GACAGAGGGGGCAAGCGUUGCUCGGAAUUACUGGGCGUAAAGGGUGCGUAGGCGGCAUGGCAAGUCGGUCGUGAAAUCCUUCGGCUCAACCGAAGAACGUCGAUCGAAACUGCCGUUCUUGAGGAUUGCAGAGGAGACUGGAAUUCCCGGUGUAGCGGUGAAAUGUGUAGAGAUCGGGAGGAACACCGGUGGCGAAGGCGGGUCUCUGGGCAAUUCCUGACGCUGAGGCGCGAAAGCGUGGGGAGCAAACGGG
rnacentral:rRNA from 1 species